rnacentral:rRNA from 1 species
GGGGGGGGGGGGGGGGGGGCGGGGCGCGUGGGGGGGGGGGGGGGGGGCGCCGGCGGGGGGGGGUGCUCGAGUGGCGAACGGGUGGGUGGCACGGGGGGGAGCGGCCCUGCACGUCGGGAUAGGCCGGGGAUACGGGGGCUACUACGUCGUAGGACAACAUUUUGGAGGGGGGUGUGGAACGUUUUUCGUUGUGGGCUGAGCUCUCGGCCUAUCAGCUGGUUGGUGGGGUAAUGGCCUACCAAGGCGUCGACGGGUAGCCGGCCUGAGAGGGUGUACGGCCACAUUGGGACUGAGAUACGGCCCAGACUCCUACGGGAGGCAGCAGUGGGGAAUAUUGCACAAUGGGCGCAAGCCUGAUGCAGCGACGCCGCGUGGGGGAUGACGGCCUUCGGGUUGUAAACUCCUUUCGCUAGGGACGAAGCGUUUUUGUGACGGUACCUGGAGAAGAAGCACCGGCUAACUACGUG